GAUGAACGCUGGCGGCGUGCCUAAUACAUGCAAGUCGAGCGAACGGACGAGAAGCUUGCUUCUCUGAUGUUAGCGGCGGACGGGUGAGUAACACGUGGAUAACCUACCUAUAAGACUGGGAUAACUUCGGGAAACCGUAGCUAAUACCGGAUAAUAUUUUGAACCGCAUGGUUCAAAAGUGAAAGACGGUCUUGCUGUCACUUAUAGAUGGAUCCGCGCUGCAUUAGCUAGUUGGUAAGGUAACGGCUUACCAAGGCAACGAUGCAUAGACGACCUGAGAGGGUGAGCGGCCACACUGGAACUGAGACGCGGUCCAGACUCCUACGGGAGGCAGCAGUAGGGAAUCUUCCGCAAUGGGCGAAAGCCUGACGGAGCAACGCCGCGUGAGUGAUGAAGGUCUUCGGAUCGUAAAACUCUGUUAUUAGGGAAGAACAUAUGUGUAAGUAACUGUGCACAUCUUGACGGUACCUAAUCAGAAAGCCACGGCUAACUACGUG
rnacentral:rRNA from 1 species